rnacentral:rRNA from 1 species
GACGAACGCUGGCGGCGUGCCUAAUACAUGCAAGUAGAACGCUGAAGAGAGGUACUUGCUCUUCUUGGAUGAGUUGCGAACGGGUGAGUAACGCGUAGGUAACCUGCCUUGUAGCGGGGGAUAACUAUUGGAAACGAUAGCUAAUACCGCAUAACAAUGGUUGACACAUGUCAUUUAUUUGAAAGGGGCAAUUGCUCCACUACAAGAUGGACCUGCGUUGUAUUAGCUAGUAGGUGAGGUAAUGGCUCACCUAGGCGACGAUACAUAGCCGACCUGAGAGGGUGAUCGGCCACACUGGGACUGAGACACGGCCCAGACUCCUACGGGAGGCAGCAGUAGGGAAUCUUCGGCAAUGGGGGCAACCCUGACCGAGCAACGCCGCGUGAGUGAAGAAGGUUUUCGGAUCGUAAAGCUCUGUUGUAAGUCAAGAACGGGUGUGAGAGUGGAAAGUUCACACUGUGACGGUAGCUUACCAGAAAGGGACGGCUAACUACGUG